rnacentral:lncRNA from 1 species
CUGGUUUUCAGGGGCCCGUAUUUCUGCCCUGCCUCAGUCCCUAAUUUGCUUUUUGAGUCUGGACAAGCCAUCUCUCCUCCUUAGGCUCGUGUUUCUGGAGGAGGUAGAGAGUAUCAAAGGUCACUGUUAGCUCAGAGAUUUAAAGGCUCCUAGAAUGGAAACCUCAGGACCAAGGGCUCCUGUCUGUCCUUUGCUGUCUUAUAUCUCUGCUAUGAAGAACUGUACCUGGCCUGUACGUGCUCAGUAAAUGUUUGUUGAGUGAAUGCACCUUUCUCAAUCGUAAGCUGGCAGAAGGGGGGUGGGCCUUUCUCAAACUCUGUCUCUAGAGGUUCAGCAGCCCCUCUCUGCAGGGCCCUUUCCCCUCUGCUUUAGGCAGGUUCACACAUUGAAAGAGGAGAAGCAUGAGAUACAUCAGGUACAGAAGCUUGGGAGGAACUUGUUCAAACUCAAAAACCAGACGGGUAAGAUGGGGCUGCCAUGACCUAGGAGCAGGACUGGCAUCAGAGGGCUGUGAGGGUGACUUAGAAUGCCCCGGGGAGGUGGGUAGAUGGAAGGGCUUUGAGGCAGAGGGAAAGAGGUCUGUGCCAGGAGAUGGCAAGUCUUGUCAUCUCCAUGAGCCUCAGUGUCCCUCUCAGUAAAGAGGGAGGAGUGCCCGUUGUCAGCCACCCACAGUGCUAUCUGAAAGUGACUUGGAAGAUUGGCUACCAUCCGGGUGUGAGGAGUCAUUAGCAGUGAGGCCAAGUUUGGGAAGCCUGAGAGGAGGAGCUGUGCACCGAAGGGAGGAUUUUUUUUUUUUUUUUUUUUUUAUCCAGAGGCCCUUAUUGUCUGCUUCCUUUCUCAGCUGAACCCCUGGCCCCAGAGCCCCCAGCACGGCCCUCUAAGGUGGAGCAGCUCCAAGAUGAGACCAACCACCUAAGGAAGGAGCUGGAGAGUGUGGGAAGACAGCUCCAGGCUGAGGUGGAAAACAAUCAGAUGUUGAGUCUCCUGAACAGGAGACAGGAGGAGAGGCUGCAGGAACAGGAGGGGUGGCAGGAGGAACAGGAGAGGCUGCUGGACAAGGUGGAGGAGCUGCUGGAACAGGAGAGGUUUUCGGGAGCAGGAUGAGAGGCUGUGGCAGCAGGAGACUCUACGGGAGCUGGAGAGGAUGCUGGAGUUGGGGUGGGAAGCCCUCUACAAGCAGCGGGCCGAGCCCCACAGCGGCUUCGAGGAGCUGGUGCGUUGCCCCACCUGGGGAGGCUGCCCUCUUCCCUAGCCCUCAAGGCCUUUGUUUCCCCACCUGUAAAAUGGGGCAUUGUAGCCUUCACAUGAAAUGGUACUUCUAAAGGCACCUGUGAGCCAGAGUCCUGCUCUGAUGGCUGUGGGAGAAAGGGGAUAUUUUUCUAACCUGCCUCCACCCUUCCCGGUGCCAUGGGAGGCAGACACCAAGUUCUGGGGUCUCCAGUUUUAGUGGGUGGCCACUGAUUGCUUCUCUCUGUCCAGAAUAAUGAGAACAAGAGUGCACUGCAGUUGGAGCAGCAAGUAAAGGAGCUGAAGCUUGGUGAGCUGAAAGAGACGGUAACCUGUGACCCAUCCAAUAAUGGCUGGGAGGCAGUCACCAGCCUCUGGGAAGGGGAGGUGCCAGGACAGAGGCAGCUGCAGCCUGAGGGCAGGUGACCCCAGCACCCUCCAGGGCAGUCCUAUGACUGUUUCUUGCUUCCUGCCCUCUGAUGUUUAGAGGUGGGUAGCCCUGGGCUCCUCCCAGGUCUGGACAUCAUCAUCCCAGCUAGAGGCAUGGAGCCCCCCCAAUCACAGAGGAAGAGACAGUGGUAUAAGAGGCUCCUUGGUGGGGUGUGGUGGCUCACGCCUGUAAUCCCAGCACUUUGGGAGGCUGAGGUGGGACAAUCACUUGAGGUCAGGAGUUUGAGAUCAGCGUGGCCAACAUGGCAAAACCUCAUCUCUACUAAAAUUAAAAAAAAAAAAAUAAUUAGCCGGGCCUGGUGGUGUAUGCCUGUAAUCCCAGCUACUCAGGAGGCUGAGACACGAGAAUCACUUGAGCCUGGGAGGUGAAGGUUGCAGUGAGCUGAGAUUGCACCACUGCAUUCUAGCCUGAGACACAGAGUGACACUCUCUUAAAACAAAAUAGAAAAACAAAAAAGACUCCUUAGAUUCAUACUGGAUUCCGGCCUCGGUUCCACUGGUCAUAAUUCAACUACUUUGCAUCUCUAAGUCUCUGUUUAACUUCAAAAGGAAGUUAGCCUUUUCCUUGCAGAGGUGCUGAGGAUUAAAUGAGAUAAUACUUGGAAACAUUAGGUAUGUGGCACACUUAGCAGAUGGUGGUUGGCUGCCCCUGCUUUUCCACCAGUCUGUGGCCUACAGUUUAAAUGCUGGGAAAAAGGACAUGAGAUUUGAGGCUGUGGAAGGAGGCAUGUGGUUCUAGGCAAAGGAGGCAGUCUUGUACGCCUGGAGCAAGGGGCCAGGGGCCUGGGCAGGCCACAGAGCCCCACAGUGCCCUCGCUACCCUAUUAAUGGGCCAGGAAUCUGGAAGCCAGCCACCACAUGCCCUCAUGCCCAGGGUUUUCCUGCACGUGGAGCUGAAGAGCCAAGAGGCUCAGAGUCAGCAGCAGCAGCAAGACCAGUACCUGUGUCACCUGCAGCAGUUCGUGGUUGCUUAGUAGCAGGUGGCUGCUUGUCAGCAGCUGGCCUCUGAGAAGGAGGCGCUGCACAGGCAGUUACUGCUGCAGACCUGGCUCAUGGACCAGCUGCAGCAGGAGGAAGCUCGGGGCAAAUCGGUGGCUAAGAGGGCCCGCCAAAUGUUGCAGGAGACCCAGGGGAGGGAGUUGUUGAGGACAGGGCUCCAAGAGGGACAACCUGGCAACCUCUGUACCUUCUCACCCUCUUUCCUGGCCCCUUAGGAGAACCUGGAAGCUACCAGCCAGUAGAAACAGCAGCUAAAGCCCAGUUGAGCCUCAUGGCUCUCCCUGGGGAAGGUAUGGGAGACUACUCAGAGGAAGAGGAGAGAGCCCCAGGAGGAAAGGGGGACUGUUAGCAGCGUAGGAUUGAGGAGUUGGAAGAGACCUUUAAGACAGCUGGUCAUUAUGCCAACUGGGUGUCCGCACUAAGUUCGGUAUCAGUAUGGUGACCUCCUGGGAACAGGUCAUCGGCUUGCCUAAGGAUGGGAGAACUGGCCCAGGUCAGAAAGGGAGCAGGUCAGAAUUCCUGCACCAAUCGGUAGUGGGACUGUGCCUGGGCAAUAUAGCAAGAUCUUGGUUCUUAAAAUUCAAAAUAAAGAACAGCUCAUUCCCCUCUGGGGAGGGGCUGGCUCAAGGUUACACAGUGAGUGUGGGGGCAGAGGCGGGCCCACUGUACCUCCCUUGUUGGGUUGUCUGAGGACCCCUCUGGCCACCCCCCACAGGAGAUGGAGGAGGACAUCUGGACAGUGAGCAGGAGGCGCCUCGGCCCAUGCCGAACAUCCCAGGGGACCUGGAGAGCCGGGAGGCCAUGGUGAGCCUGACUUUCCCUGCCCCUACUUUGCCACCUUCCUCUGUGGUCCCUCCGAAACCCCCUUAUGUUCUUGGUUUCCCCGCCUUCUGACUUCUGUGGACUUUCACUCCUCCUGGGAGCCAGUGGUCAGACACCAUUUCACCUGUGACCAACAGGUGCACUCUGUGAGGCCCGAAAGGAGGGGGCUAUGCUCCAUCUCCCUGCCCCGGUUGUUAUGUGUAUACCCCUACAAGAAUACUCACCUCUUGCCUUCAGGUGGCAUUUUUCAACUCCGCUGGAGCCAAUGCCCAGGAGGAGCAAAGGGUGUGCUGCCAGCCCCUGGCUCACCCAGUGGCCUCGUCCCAGAAAAAGCCAGAGGUAGCGGCCCCAGCCCCAGAGACUGGGGGUGAAUCUGUGUGUGGGGAGACCCACCAGGCCCUGCAGGGGGCCAUGGAGAAGCUGCAGGUGAGUAGUCCUGGCAUGGGCCAACAAGGGUGGGGUCGGGACAAGGCAGGUGACUCCUGACAUGUGACCCCAUUAUUUUGGCUCCACAGCGACUUUAUGGAAGGAGAAGGUGGACCUGAAGGAGCGAGUGGAGAAACUGGAGCUUCAAUUCAUCCACCUCUCAGGACAGACAGACACCAUAGUGAGCGAGAGGCUAGGGCACCGCUGGGGGGAGCUGCCAGGCCAUCCGAGGGGCCCCAGCAUCUGAGCCAUGUCCUCCUGCAGGAAAGUACAUCAGCCAGGGGGCAGUGUCAGAGACGCAGCACUGGGAGAGGAGGACAUCGUCAGGCUGGCCCAGGACCAGGAGGAGAUGAAGGUAGGGUGUGCAACAUCUCGGUGGGGGUGGGGGUGGGGGUGAACGUGCGUGCCGGCACCGGCAUGGCAGCUAACACCCCUUCCUCCAGGUGAACCUGCAGGAGCUGCGGGGCAGGUGUUGCAGCUUGUGGGCGACCACAAGGAGGGGCAUGGCAAAUUUUGACCAUUGCCCAGAACCCUGCUGAUGAGCCCACUCUAGGAGCCCCAAUCGCCCGGGAGCUUGGGUGUGCGGACAAGCAGGGUGGGGAGUAGAGCCCUCAGGCGGGGUGGGCAGGCAGGAGCAGGGGAGGAUCGAACUGUGCUCAGAUUCCCACCCCCCUCUCUCUCUCUCUCUCUGAAGAUCUUUGUGAGGUGAGCCUCACUGAUAGCAUGGAGGCUGUACCAGGAGAGGACAGGGAGGGUUCUCCCCAUGACAACCCCACUGCACAGCAGAUCCAGCAGCUGCUUCCUGUAAUGCAGGACUCCCCAGGAGCACCCAGGCAUGGGCAGCAACCCCUGCAUGCCAUUCUUUUUGGGCUGCCGAGAACAGGGAGAUAAACACCACCAUCAUCUAAGAGCCGGGGAGGGGAGGGCGUAGGUGUGGGCAUGGCAAGGUUCCUGGUAAAGGGGCUGGAAGGGAAAGGGGAGGAAGAUGGAGGGAGAAGCUGGAGUGCCUGGGGGCUGUGGCAGCCCUCCCCACCCCACACACACUGGCCUCUCCCACGGCACCCAGGCAGUCCACCCACAGUUCAGACCAAUGCUCAACCCCCUCAGGCUUCCGCUUCUCUGGUCACCGUCUUCCAACGCACUGGCCCAGGGCCACCUCUUGCUUGGGGAGCCCCACCCAACAGCCACCAAGCCUGACAGAAGGAACACUGCUUGAACCAAAAUGGUGAAGCUAUAAGGGAUGGCUGGCUGGAGUGAAUGCCAGAGGCCCCUCUGGGCUGUCUGAAAGCCCAGGGUCCUCUGAGGGACCCUGGGGAAGGCAGGAAGGGCAGGUAGCUGGAUGCCAUUGGCCAUAGACUUCUAAGUCUAACAGGGGAGCCUCAACUGGUUGGUGGAGGGCUGCAGGUUGCAUAGGUGAGGCUGGGCCCUUCCUGCUGGGAAAAGUAGAAGAGGGAGACUCUGUGGCAGUAAAGGGAAGUGAGCUGUCUAGGCGGAGCUCAGCUAGGCCAGCAUACAUUGUGGGCCCCUUGGCUGAAUAUCACAGGCGACCCCUAGAAGCAACAGGCCAAGGUGCGUGAGCCUGCUGGCCAGCAGUAGUGCUUCAGCAGGGGCCAGGGACCCUGCCUUCAGUCACACGCUAGCAGCUAUGAUGGUACCUGGGAGGGAGGGAAGGGGGCUGUGUGUCCUUGCAUGGCCUAUGAAGUGUGUUGUGGGAUAACCAUGUGUAUAGGACUCUCAGGCUUUUAUCCUAGAUCACCACUAGAUUGCUGACAGAUAGAGGACGUGGGACCCUGACUAUCACCCCUAAUCUGCCGUGGAUUUAGCUCUCGGCACUCCCAGGCUGGGAGCUGGAUACCUGCCCUGGCAGCAUGACUCAGACUGCGUGACAGAUGUCCAGGGCUGGGGGGCAGACAAACACAGGUUAAAAACUGUGAUUCAUCCCUGUUGGGUUUCCCUCAAACCCCAAGAACAAGCACAGGCUGAUGGCCUUGAUGGGGUGAUCCAGCACCGACCUCACAUGCACUGGUCCCUAGCCAGCCUGAGCCAGCUGCCAUCUGCUCGAGGAAGUAGCUUCAGCCAUUGGAGGAGUUGGAGGUUUGUAUACCCUCAGGGCAGCCAGUCCCACCUGGAGGGAUAUCCAGGAAAGAUCCCGUAAGAGCCCCUCGGGUUGAGUUAAAUCCCCUCUAGUUAUCCCCUCCUCCUGCCAGCACUGCUGGCAACACCAGCACCUUGG